rnacentral:lncRNA from 1 species
UGUAACGUCCUCGAUGCGGCUAUAUCUCCCACGUGUCGAGGCACGACUUAGAGGCAUAACCGCAUUGAAAGCAAUGUCGCAAGUUAGGAAAUCAUCACACAUCCCAUGUACAUAAAUAAUAUAAAGGGGAGGUACAUAGUUGGCUUACACUCGCCACGUCACAUCGAAGUACAUAAAUAACAUACAUCAUCCAAACACUCAUGGCCCGACUACGGCGCCAAAACAAAAGACAACCCAACAAGCGACAUAGGUCCCGAUCACCCCAACGGGGCACCACUACUGAUCAUCAGGAAAAGACACAUAGUAACACUGAGAGUCCUCGUCGUACUCCCACUUGAGCUCAAGCGCGCCAUCUGGAGCUGUAUCAUCUGUCCCUGCAUCUGGUGUAAAAGUAAUCUGUGAGCCACAGGGACUCAGCAAUCUCGCACCCUCGCGAUCAAGACUAUUUAAGCUUAAUAGGUAGGAAAGGGGUAAUGUAUAAGUGGAGCUGCAGCAAGCGACUAGCAUAUAUGGUGGCUAACUUAUGCGCAAAAGAGAGCGAGAAGAGGAGGCAAAGCAUGAGCGGGAAAACUAGAGGGCAACCUGCGCAAACAUAACUCCAACACCGUGUUCGCUUCCCGGACUCCGCCGAGAAGAGGCCAUCACGGCAACACACCCAGUUGAUUCAUUUUAAUUAAUUAAGGUUCAAGUUAUCUACAACCGGACAUUAACAAAUUCCCAUCUGCCCAUAACCGCGGGCACGGCUUUCGAAAGAUCAAUCCCUGCAGGGGGUCCCAACUUAGCCCAUAACAAGCUCUCACGGUCAAUGAAGGAAUAGACCUCCACCCAAGACACACCGAUCAGACUCGGUAUCUCGGUACAACAAGAUGAUUCGACAGGUUAAAACAAGUCCAGCAACACCGCCCGAAUGUGCCGACAAAUCCCGAUAGGAGCUGCAUAUAUCUCUUUCUCAGGGCACACUCAGAUGAACACUACGUACAACAAAAACCAACCCUCGAGUUGCCCCGAGGUGGCCCUGCAAGUGGCUCUAUUUGGACCAACACUCAGAGGAGCACUGGCCCGGGGGGGUUAAAAUAAGAUGACCCUCGGGCUCCGGAAACCCAAGGGAAAAAGAGGCUAGGUGGCAAAUGGUAAAACCAAUGUUGGGCAUUGCUGGAAAAGCUUUAAUCAAGGCAAACUAUCAAGGGGUUCCCAUUAUAGCCCAACCGCGUAAGGGACGCAACAAUCCGGGAACAUAACACCGAUAUGACGGAAACUAGGGCGGCAAGAGUGGAACAAAACACUAGGCGAGAGGCCGAGCCUUCCACCCUUUACCAAGUAUAUAGAUGCAUUAAGAUAACAUGGCAUUAUAAUGAUAUCCCAACAAGUAAAUAAAUGUCCCAACAAGGAACGGCUCCAAUCUUCACCUGCAACUAGCAACGCUAUAAGAAGGGGCUGAGCAAAGCGGUAACUUAGCCAAUCAACGGUUUGCUAGGACAAAGGUGGGUUAGGGGCUGAACAUGGCAAUUGGGAGGCUGACAAGCAAGUGGUAGGCAUCGUAGCAUUGGCAUAGCAAAAGAGCCAGCAAACUAGCAUAGCAAAGAUAGUAGUGAUUUCGAGGGUAUGAUCAUCUUGCCUGCACAGUUGUCAGAGUUGACUGGAUCCUCACAAGCAAACUCAACGGGCUCCUCGUUAGUGAACUCGUCUCCCCGCUCUACCCAACAACACAAACAAGCAACAAGGAUACAAUCAACCACGUGCAAACUCAAGCAAUAAGAUGCAAUGAUGGUAUGCUAUGCGGGAUGCGAUGCGGGAUGCAAAAUGCAAGACGUGGUAGGAAAUGCAUGAACCUGGCCUCAACUUGGAAAACCAAGUGUGCCACUGGAAAGAGGGGAUGAAAUCACCUGAAAAUGAUAUAAAGAUCAUUGGAAUCGGAGCUACGGUUUGGAAAUGGCAAGCGUUUUACGAAAUGAACCGGUCUGCGAUUUACAACAAGUAGGCUCCUAAAUGCAACGAAAUGAACAUGCUACAGCCACCAAACAUGACAACAAAAUACAUGGCAGGGAUGUACACAAGAUGCUUAUCAAAACACUAGCACUGAGCCACGGCCAAAUUCAUCCAUUAUGAGGUUCAAACAAGCAUGGCAAAAAUGAAUAUGCAAAACAGAUUUCAGACUUAGUGAAAUUAACACUAGUCUGAAAUUUCAGACCAAGAUGCUCUCUUCGGAGCAGCAAAACAACAUGAUACAUAACCUGAACAUGACAAGUAAUACCAUGGCAUGGAGCUACUCAAUAAGCUUAACAAAACACCCAAAGUGACCUGGGGCCAAAAGGGUUCACAAAAUACUCUAACGAGCACACGAACAUAGAUGAAACACAAUCAGUUUUCAGACUUAGUGAAAACUGAGACAUGCUGGAAUUUAACUCACGAAGGCACGUAAACGAGCUCGAUGCACUCACUACGGUGCAAGUCAUGGCAAGGUAAGCAUAUAUCCAUAAAUAAGACACAAAAUGCUAGCUAGACAUGGCAAGAAUAAUGGCAUAGCAUGCAUGGAUCACUAACAAUAUCAUCGGCAAAAUCGCAAACAAGUUGACGAUCUGCCCAGAUUUACCACGAAGCAAAAGUAGAGCUCGAUUGACUCAAGCUAGAGCACUCCACAUAUGCAAACAAAGACAUGGAUGGAUAGAGCAUAACAUGAAUAUAAAAACUCCCUUACUGAUCAUCCUCAAAAGAGGCACGGAUCACUAGGAAACAAGCUGAACAUAUGGCAUCAUGAACUAAAAUAUCCCAGACUUAGUGAAAAUCAAUAAGUCCCUGAAAACAGAAUUCUCAGGUGCCUCUCUUUGCAAGCUUGCACAAGUCACCACAUACAUCCUAAAAAUGCAUGGGUGGCACCUCUGGAAAGAAGACAAAAUUCUUAACAAUUCAUCCCAAAGACUCAUAGGCAUAUCAUGCACACAAUAAUCAUGGCAAAAAUGACAAAAGUCUAUGAUGAACUAACGGAUCUGCAAUUUAACUCACGAAGCCUCCUUCUAGCAGCAUUACGGGCAUCAAGAUGAACUCAAAUUGAUAUAGACCGAACCUCGUGGCGAGAUCCGAUCCGUCGUUGCGGCCCGACCUUUCACGACACUCCACCACCAAUAGCAGUAACCUCUCGCCCGCGCACGCGAUGUACAUGAUGUAGAGGGUUUGAACCUUGCGGCCCAGCACGAGAAAACCAAUCUCGACGAAGGUACUCACGCGCAAAACAAUUUCCUCAUCGAGAAAUCGCAACACAGAGGUUUUCUAAAGAUCCCUCCAAAACUUGAUACGGGUGUCUACCCUAAAAACACAUCAUGUCUAUUUCAUAAAAAUAUAACCUCCCUUUACAUGAUCGCAUCCUCUACUACUUAUAGCUGAACCGGCUAAUCAACUUGACCCUCACGUAGAAGUAAUCUAUCCCUACAUGCAACGGAUAAGUCAAAAGGAAACUAAGACUAUAAUCUAUUCUGGACUCUAUACUAUAUUUAAUUAGUUGCCUUUUACAUCUCGGCAACAAACACCAUGUAUUUAUCUUCACUGUAGGUGGACCCAUCUCAAGUCCUUGAGAGAUAGAUGACCACGUACAUCUCCUUCCCGUACAUGUUUCUUGCAUGGUAAAAAUAGGAACAUAAAUCCUUCUUUAAACCUUCCUUUAACUCCUUUUAUAUCUCCAAGUAAAUAGUCAUAAUUCUUGGUUGCAUGCACCGAAUGAUUUUUGCCUCCAACAAUUGGAACAGAAUAGCAUUCUAGGCUGGCUUCCAUCUCAUGUUUUUCUCUCUUUAUUUCUUGCAUCAUUGUACGCAUGUCAAGUCCUGAAGUAAAUCUCAUCUUGUCCUGAGCCUGGACAUGUCUCUCCUUUUGGCCUAUAUUAAUUAUGUGUGAUGCAUCAACGUGCAUGCAAGUAUUAACUAGUGUAUCCUCGUCUUCAUUACUUGGCCGGAGAUACUCCGGUGUAGAUGCUUUCUAUUUUCGGAUAAUAUGGGCUUUAGAUGAAACGUCGACAACCUCAGUGUUUUUAUUACAGCGGGUCGUAUCAUCCUCUCCCCCUUGAACGGAAACCGUCCUCGGUUUCGACUCAAUCUCUUCAGCAAUAUUUUCAUGUACAUACUGAACAGUGAUGACAGAAAUUUCAGUAGCUUCAACCUUCUUCUUUUCUUCUUUUUGCUCUUUUAUCUUCUCAAGAUGUUCUUUUCUCCAAGAAACAAAACGCUCCUCACCCAUAGGCACAAGGUUGCACUUCUUACCCCUCUUGACAGUAUACGUGUGUGUUUUGCAAUCAUACGCCACAUCAUGAUCUUUGUACCAUGGCUCACCCAAUAACAAGUGACACGAAAUCAUCGUUGCCGGAAUCACGUCGCACAAAACCUCACAAAAAUAAUUACCCAACAAAAACGAUACCUUAGUUUGGUGCGUGACAGUGAGCUCUUCAUGACCCCAAUGAAACAAGUAUGGUUGCGGACGUGCUGUCACUGGAAGAUUCAACUUUUCCACCAUCUCGAUGCUUGGAGCGUUGAUCAAAUUCAUGUGAUCGAUCGUCAUGGCACAUGAUCUCUCUCUCACUACCACAUGGGUGUGAAAAAGCCCAGUCCAACGGCCUUCCUCCUCCAACUGAAAUCCAUAGCUUAACUUACUGAAUCACGAUGUGAUCGCCAUCUUCUCCAUAGUGUCUUGAACAACCUGUUGCUCUGAAUACCACCUGAUAUAGACCGAACCUCAUGGCGAGAUCCGAUCCGUCGUUGCGGCCCGACCUUUCACGACACUCCACCACCAAUAGCAGUAACCUCUCGCCCGCGCACGCGAUGUACACGAUGUAGAGGGUUUGAACCUUGCGGCCCAACACGAGAAAACCAAUCUCAACGAAGGUACUCACGCGCAAAACAAUUUCCUCACCGAGAAAUCGCAACACAGAGGUUUUCUAAAGAUCCCUCCAAAACUUGAUACGGGUGUCUACCCUAAAAACACAUCAUGUCUAUUUCAUAAAAAUAUAACCUCCCUUUACAUGAUCGCAUCCUCUACUACUUAUAGCUGAACCGGCUAAUCAACUUUACCCUCACGUAGAAGUAAUCUAUCCCUACAUGCAACGGAUAAGUCAAAAGGAAACUAAGACUAUAUUCUAUUCUGGACUCUAUACUAUAUUUAAUUAGUUGCCUUUUACAUCUCGGCAACAAACACCAUGUAUUUAUCUUCACUGUAGGUGGACCCCAUCCCAAGUCCUUGAGAGAUAGAUGACCACGUACAUCUCCUUCCCGUACAUGUUUCUUGCAUGGUAAAAAUAGGAACAUAAAUCCUUCUUUAAACCUUCCUUUAACUCCUUUUAUAUCUCCAAGUAAAUAGUCAUAAUUCUUGGUUGCAUGCACCGAAUGAUUUUUGCCUCCAACAAUUGGAACAGAAUAGCAUUCUAGGCUGGCUUCCAUCUCAUGUUUUCUCUCUUUAUUUCUUGCAUCAUUGUACGCAUGUCAAGUCCUGAAGUAAAUAUCAUCUUUUCCUGAGCCUGGACAUGUCUCUCCUUUUGGCCUAUAUUAAUUAUGUGUGAUGCAUCAACGUGCAUGCAAGUAUUAACUAGUGUAUCCUCGUCUUCAUUACUUGGCCGGAGAUACUCCGGUGUAGAUGCUUUGUAUUUUCGGACAAUAUGGGCUUCAGAUGAAACGUCGACAACCUCAGUGUUUUUAUUAUAGCGGGUCGUAUCACAAAUGCAAAUGAUGCAAUGGAAUGAAAUGAUGUACAUGUCGAGACGAAUAUUUCGAUAUAUUAUAUGCCCAAAACGGAGCUACGGAUGCAAAGAUAUGAAUAGUCAAAGAUAGCACAAAAUUACGGGGGAGAAGAGGGAAAGUCAACCCAGAUCUAGGGUUUCGGUACUGUAGCAAAGCACUAUAGCAGAUCGGCGGGGCACUAUAGCAGAUCGAAGAAGCUCGCCGGAAUGGCGGCCGCGGUGGCCGGAUNNNNNNNNNNNNNNNNNNNNNNNNNNNNNNNNNNNNNNNNNNNNNNNNNNNNNNNNNNNNNNNNNNNNNNNNNNNNNNNNNNNNNNNNNNNNNNNNNNNNNNNNNNNNNNNNNNNNNNNNNNNNNNNNNNNNNNNNNNNNNNNNNNNNNNNNNNNNNNNNNNNNNNNNNNNNNNNNNNNNNNNNNNNNNNNNNNNNNNNNNNNNNNNNNNNNNNNNNNNNNNNNNNNNNNNNNNNNNNNNNNNNNNNNNNNNNNNNNNNNNNNNNNNNNNNNNNNNNNNNNNNNNNNNNNNNNNNNNNNNNNNNNNNNNNNNNNNNNNNNNNNNNNNNNNNNNNNNNNNNNNNNNNNNNNNNNNNNNNNNNNNNNNNNNNNNNNNNNNNNNNNNNNNNNNNNNNNNNNNNNNNNNNNNNNNNNNNNNNNNNNNNNNNNNNNNNNNNNNNNNNNNNNNNNNNNNNNNNNNNNNNNNNNNNNNNNNNNNNNNNNNNNNNNNNNNNNNNNNNNNNNNNNNNNNNNNNNNNNNNNNNNNNNNNNNNNNNNNNNNNNNNNGGGCCAUGUGGCAGCGGCUGGUUGGCAGCGGCGGGAUCCGGACGUUGUCCGGCUCCGUCCGGACACGUCCGGCGGCGGCGGAGAGGGAUUUUAGGGUUUCGGGGAGAGGGGAGAUCCGAAAAUGGAGGGGGUGUAUAUAUAGGCAUAGGGGGAGCUAGGAGAGUCCAAAUGAGGUGCGGUUUUCGGCCACGCGAUCGUGAUCGAACGCUCUAGGACAUGGAGCAGAGUUUGGUGGGUUUUGGGCCAAAUUGGAGGGGUGUUGGGCUGCAACACACACGAGGCCUUUUCGGUCCCUUGGUUAACCGUUGGAGUAUCAAACGAAGUGCAAAUGGUACGAAACUUGACAGACGGUCUACGGUAGUAAACCAAGGCCGCAUGACAAGUCUCGGUCCAAUCCGGAAAUGUUUAAUCUCCACACACGAAAGAAAGCUAGAAAUGGCCACCGGAGAAGAACGAAGCGCCGGAAUGCAAAACGGACAACGGGGAAAAUGCUCGAAUGCAUGAGAUGAACAAGUAUGCAAAUGCAAUGCACGUGAUGCCAUGAUAUGAGAUGCACGAAAAUGAAAACAACACACGGAGACAAAGACCGGGACCCGAGGAAUAAAUAUAACUUAAUGCCGGAAACGGCAAGAGUUGGAGUACAAAUUGGGAAAGUUAUAACUGGGACGUUACAACACUCCACCACUAUGAAAAGAUCUCGUCCCGAGAUCUAGGACUGAAAGAACUCCGGGUACUCAGAACGGAGGUGAUCCUCGCGUUCCCAGGUAGCUUCACGGUCGGAAUGGUGUGACCACUUGACUUUGAGAAAUUUGAUUGACUUGUUGCGAGUCCUGCGUUCAGUCUCUUCAAGGAUUGCAACUGGGUGCUCACGAUAGGAGAGAUCUUCUUGGAGCUCAAUGUCCUCGAAGUUGACGGUGCGUUCAGGCGUCUUGAAGCACUUUCGGAGUUGGGAGACAUGGAACACAUCAUGAACAUUUGCAAAGUUUGACGGAAGCUCGAGUUGAUAGGCGAGGUCGUCUCUCUUGCUGACAAUCUUGAAAGGUCCGACGUAUCUAGGGGCAAGCUUCCCUUUGAUACCGAAGCGACGAGUCCCUUUCAUAGGAGAGACGCGGAGGUAAACAUGAUCUCCGAUCUCGAAAGCCAAAUCACGGUGCUUACUAUCAUAGAAGCUCUUCUGGCGGGAUUGGGCUGCUUUGAGAUUAUCACGAAUGAUCUUGCACAUUUCUUCUGCCUCUGUGAUUAAGUCAUUACCCAGCAGCUGACGUUCACCGGUUUCAGACCAGUUGAGAGGGGUAUGGCAUUUCCUACCAUACAGAAUUUCAAAUGGGGCCUUGCCCGAACUUGCUUGAAAACUGUUGUUGUAUGAGAAUUCAGCAUAAGGAAGACAAUCCUCCCACUUCAUGCCGAAGGAGAUAACACAAGCCCUAAGCAUAUCUUCAAGAAUCUAGUUGACAUGCUCGACUUGACCGCUUGUUUGAGGAUGGAAAGCAGUGCUGAAGCGAAUGUUGGUGCCCAUGGCCUUCUGAAAAGAAUCCCAAAACUUGGAGGUAAAGAUGCUGUCACGGUCUGAAGAUAUCACUUGAGGAAUACCGUGCAGAGAGACAAUUCGAGAGGUGUAGAGUUCCGCCAAUUGAGCUGCAGUGAUCGACUCCUUGAUAGGCAGAAAGUGAGCCACUUUGGUGAGCUUGUCGAUGACAACGAAUAUAGCAUCAUUGCCACGCUUGGACUUUGGAAACCCAGUCACAAAGUCCAUUUCAAUGUUGUCAAACUUCCAUUCUGGAAUGGCAAGAGGUUGGAGGAGACCUGCUAGCCUUUGGUGUUCUGCCUUCACUCUUCUGCAGACAUCACAUUCAUUCACGAAUUGAGCGAUCUCGCGCUUCAUUCGAGUCCACCAAUAAGUUUGCUUCAGAUCCUGAUACAUCUUCGUACUCCCAGGGUGGAUGGAGAGGAGAGAGUUGUGAGCCUCGUUCAUGUUCACUUUACGAAUUUCACCUUUGGGCACAACAAUUCGAUCCUCAAAUAAGAUAGUGUCCUUGUCAUCAAGGCGGUAGCACUUGUACUUGGACUGACUCUUGGCAAUCCCAAUCUUCACCUUUUUCACCAUAGCAUCAAGAAGCUGGGCUUGGCGAAUUUGGUCUUCCAAUGUAGGAGAAACUUGAAGGUUGGCGAGGAAACCUUGAGGAACAAUUUGCAGAUUAAGUUUGCGGAAAGCUUCACAAAGCUCGGGUUGAUAAGGCUUCAGAAUCAGACUGUUGCAAUAUGCUUUUCUGCUCAAAGCGUCAGCAAUCACAUUGGCCUUGCCUGGAGUAUACUCGAUACUUAGAUUGUACUCUUGAAUCAUUUCGACCCAUCGAGUUUGCCUGAGGUUGAGAUUAGGCUGGGUGAAGAUGUACUUGAGACUCUUGUGAUCAGUGAAAAUGUCCACUUUCCUUCCCAAUAGAAGAUGUCUCCAAGUCAACAAAGCAUGCACAACUGCCGCCAACUCGAGAUCAUGAGUGGGGUAGUUCUUCUCAUUAGGCUUCAACUGACGAGAGGUAUAAGAAACAACUUUCUUCUCUUGCAUCAGUACAGCACCUAGACCUUGGAGAGAGGCAUCACAAAAGACCUCGUACGGCUUGGUUUCAUCAGGCGGAGUCAGAACUGGAGCAGUGAUCAACUUCUCUUUCAAAGUGUUGAAAGCAAUAUCACACUCCGGAGACCAAACGUAAUUGACGUGCUUCUGGAGAAGAUUUGAGAGAGGCUUCGCGAUCUUAGAAAAGUUUUCAACGAAUCUUCGACAGUAGCUUGCGAGACCGAGGAAGCUACGGAGUUGCUUCACGUUCUGAGGAGGUUCCCAAUUAACAAUUGCAGACACCUUCUCAGGAUUCACGGCAAUGCCCUUGGCAGAGAUGAUAUGACCAAGAUAAAGCACCUCAUCGAGCCAAAAUUCACAUUUGGAGAAGUUGGCGUAGAACUGAUGUUCCCUGAGCUUGUCAAGAACCAAACGCAAGUUCUUGGCAUGAUCUUCCUUGUUCUUGGAGAAAACCAGAAUGUUGUCGAGAUAGACCAAAACGAAGUCAUUGGUGUAGGGGUUGAAGAUGAAGUUCAUCAUGCGAGAGAACGUCGGAGGAGCGUUGGCGAGGCCAAAAGACAUGACAGUGUAUUCAUAUGACCCAUAGCUUGUUUUGAACGCCGUCUUGGGAAUAUCUUGCUCACGGAUUCGAAUCUGAUGAUAACCCAUACAGAGAUCAAGCUUGGAGAAAACUUGGGCACCCUUGAGUUGUUCGAAUAGCUCAUUGAUGUUGGGAAGUGGGUAUUUGUUCUUGAUGGUCUUCUUGUUCAAUGGACGAUAAUCAACACAAAGUCGGUCCGUUCCAUCCUUCUUCUUCACAAAAAGAACACCACAACCCCACGGAGAAGUACUAGGACGAAUGAGACCCAUUCUUUCUUGAACAUCGAGUUGUUUCUUCAACUCCUUCAACUUUUCAGGGCCAAGCUUGUAGGGACGUUUGCACACAGGUUCCGUACCGGGCUCAAGUUCAAUAACAAAUUCAACGGGCCGGUGCGGAGGCAUUCCUGGGAGCUCUUCUGGGAAGACGUCUUGAUACUCACAAACAACCCGAAUCUGCGAAAUAGCAUCCAAUUCACCCUUCUCAUUGAGAGAAACAACCGGAUUGUAUCAUCAUGAGCGGCAAAGACAAUGACAUGCUCAGAUGAAUGAGUCAGUUGAAUCUGCCUGGCUGCACAAUCGAGGUGAGCCUUGUGCUUAGAGAGCCAGUCCAUCCCAAGAAUAAGAUCGAUAUCCGAAUUACCAAGAACCACCGGAGAAGAGAGAAAUUUGUAAUCGCCCAACGUGAUAGAGACAUCCGGGACGCAAUUGUUAGAAGUCAUUUGCUUGCCCGGAGACACAAUCUUCAACGGAACAGGAAUCCUUUCGGUCACAAAAUCAUGCUUGGCCACAAAUGGAGUUGAAAUAAAAGAAAGCGAUGCACCAGUAUCAAAAAGUACUUUAGCGGGAACAUCGUUAACAGGAAGGUUACCCGUGAUCACAUCUGGCGAGUCCUCUGCCUGAGCUGCAUUCAGCAAGUUGACCUUGGCGGACUUGGGGUUAUGCUUGACCACAGCUGUACUUGCUGAUCUGACAGGAGGAGGAGGAGGAAGACGCCUCUGGUUGAAACACUUGUUGGCGUAGUGACCCUUCUGUUGGCACUUGUUGCACGUGACCUCUGAGAGUGGACGGUGGUACGGAGCACUUGAUCUUGGAGCUUGAGACAAAGUCUUGUUCUGAAAGCCUGGGUUGGGUGGGUGGGAAGAACCACUGCCACCUUUGCUCUUCUGCUGAUACAGCUGACGGAACGGAGGAGGAGGAAGCCAAUACUUCUGCUGCUUGGCCACUUGAGUAGAGGAAGAAGGCGUAGUGUCUCUAACUCGCUUCCUGGAAGCAUCACACCUCAACUGAGCAGCCUCUUGCUUCAGUGCCAUGUUGUAGAACUCAUCAUACCUCAACGACUCAAAAAGGACAAGAGCGAGCUGAAUUUCUUCACGGAGACCACCCCUGAACUGAUAUAUCAUGCUCUUCUCAUCAGGAACAUCCUGCUUGGCAAAACAGGCGAGCUUCCGGAACAACUUGUUGUAGUCAUAGACAGACAAAGAGCCUUGCUUCAGAUUGCGAAAUUCUUCACGUUUGCUUUCAGUCACACUCUGAGGGAUGUGAUGAGCUCGGAAAUCUCGACGGAAAUCAUCCCAAGUGAUCAAACGUCCACCUCUGGAAUCCUUGUACUGCUGGAACCACUCUGCAGCCUGAUCUUUGAGCUGGAAAGAAGCGAACUUGACGAAAUCUUCAGGCCUGACGUUGCUGCAUUCAAAAUGCUUGCCCAGAUCCACUAGCCAAUCGUCAACAUCGGUAGCCUCAACACAAUUGCUGAACGUCUUUGGACCUUUAGCGAGUAACUGGUUCAGAGUAGCAAAAUGGUUUUGAUUGUUGCCUUGAUUCCCUUGACUGCUUUGAUUGCGCUCUUGGAGUAUUUGCAUGAUCAACUGUGUAUUUGCAUUGGUUGCGGCCAUCACAGCUUGCCAAGCCUCCGGAGGAGGUGGAGGUGGUGGCGGAUCAGGAUUCGGAGUCGUGCGCGUUGGAGGAGCCAUCCUAAAGAGGUUGACCACCAUUAGCACACAAAUAGACAAAAAUUGAAGGUGAGUCCAACGGAAUGAAAAUUGCAACAUAAAGUCUUCACAUCCGAACAAAAUGAACGAAUGCACUUCUCUUGAAGUGGUCACAUAUUCCUAAAUUGCGAAGCCACAUAGAAUUAGAUAGAAGAGGCAAAUCAACAAGGGAUGGAAUCAACAUAUGACAUCGAAGCAACUCGAAUACCACAACUCAAAUAAAACCAAGGAUUGGCUUGCUAAAUAAGCCGGAACAAACAUAUGAUAGAGAUUUCGUCCGAAGUUUUCAUGGUGGGACCUACACGGGCUCGAUCGUACAGCACCAUCAUGUACAAGGCAGUGCACAUGACAUACGAAGCGUCCCCGAGUCAGCAUAGCCAAGGACUCUUUAAGACACAACGAGACCACUGUAAAAUCGACCGUGAAUUGGCGAACCACUAGACGUCGAACCCCAAUUUCAUAUCAUACAUCUGUCGGAAAGAUAUCCUAAGAGCUACUUGAAUUCCCACCUAUGAAACUCCCGAAACUUUCCGGUUAUGCAAUCAGGUGUUGGGGAUAUAGGGGAAGCAUAAUAUCUCACCCAAACUAGCAAUACCUACAUCCAGCUGUAUCCAUCCUUCAACACAUAACCAAGAAACCUUCGGAAAUCAUCUACCUCAACCUUCGAAAAGCAUCCGUUAUAUGAGUUAUGGCGAUACUCCCGAACUCCCACCCCAGUACUGGGUGGCGUCGAGGUUAUCUCACCAACGAACUGCAUAAAGGAGAUUUUCGAUGUCGCGAACAUAUCUCAAGUAUACCAGAAUUGCAACGAUAAAAUUAUGAUGACAACACCUCAGAGCUCAACUCCCCGGGACACUUCCACUAAACCCCUGACAGGAGGCACCAAGACAGUAUUCUCAUCAUAAGCCAUCGGAACAAAUCCAAUAUACUCGCGUGAUCCUAAAUUUUUUCUUUAGUGAAAUUUGAGAAGAGAAGAGUCAAAACUCUACGUCAGGAUGCCUUACCAGAGCGAUGAAGAGACUGGGAAGUAAAAAGAAUUCCUAAGCUCUCCGAUAUAUAAUUCCUAAAUGACUCAAAACAUUUUUCUAGACACAACUCGGCUGCUAAAAACGAUCAAACAGUGGGGGCUCCUAAGGUCGGGGAAGGCUCUGAUUACCAACUUGUAACGCCCUCGAUGCGGCUAUAUCUCCCACGUGUCGAGGCACGACUUAGAGGCAUAACCGCAUUGAAAGCAAUGUCGCAAGUUAGGAAAUCAUCACACGUCCCAUGUACAUAAAUAAUAUAAAGGGGAGGUACAUAGUUGGCUUACACUCGCCACGUCACAUCAAAGUACAUAAAUAACAUACAUCAUCCAAACACUCAUGGCCUGACUACGGCGCCAAAACAAAAGACAACCCAACAAGCGACAUAGGUCCCGAUCACCCCAACUGGGCACCACUACCGAUCAUCAGGAAAAGACACAUAGUAACGCUGAGAGUCCUCGUCGUACUCCCACUUGAGCUCAAGCGCGCCAUCUGGAGUUGUAUCAU